rnacentral:rRNA from 1 species
AUUGAACGCUAGCGGGAUGCUUUACACAUGCAAGUCGAACGGCAGCGCGGACUUCGGUCUGGCGGCGAGUGGCGAACGGGUGAGUAAUGUAUCGGAACGUGCCCAGUAGCGUGGGAUAACUACGCGAAAGCGUAGCUAAUACCGCAUACGCCCUACGGGGGAAAGCAGGGGAUCGUAAGACCUUGCACUAUUGGAGCGGCCGAUAUCGGAUUAGCUAGUUGGUGAGGUAACGGCUCACCAAGGCGACGAUCCGUAGCUGGUUUGAGAGGACGACCAGCCACACUGGGACUGAGACACGGCCCAGACUCCUACGGGAGGCAGCAGUGGGGAAUUUUGGACAAUGGGGGCAACCCUGAUCCAGCCAUCCCGCGUGUGCGAUGAAGGCCUUCGGGUUGUAAAGCACUUUUGGCAGGAAAGAAACGUCGCGGGCUAAUACCCCGUGGAACUGACGGUACCUGCAGAAUAAGCACCGGCUAACUACGUG